rnacentral:hammerhead_ribozyme from 1 species
AUUCAGCUGACGAGUCCCAAACAGGACGAAACGCGCGUCCCGGAU